ACUACGACACUCGCGCUGGGUUUACACCUGUGCGGCAGUGAAGGAGACCUGCUGCUGCUGGGCAGAGAUACACAGGUGUGUUUGGCUGAUGGCAGCAAAGCAGCA